UCGCUCACGUGGGUCUCAUACAUACUUAAGCAUGGACUUGCUUAUAUACUAUAUUCUUAUACGUACACGUUCUUAUUUUUAGAUUAUGUAUACCCUAAUUCAUACACAACUAGUACAAGCUAUGCGGAUCAUGCGACGAUCAAAAUAAUCGCGGGUGCACACGGGAUUAUAGUGAUGGGCGUAUGAAAACCAUAGAGUGUACUAUUGUGUAUGGUAAGACACAGAACGUAACAUGACACCGAAUACGAAACGGACGUAACGUGGUCAAAACAUGGUGGAUACGCCGCUGGUACUUCCUAUAUAUAAGUGUUUUCACCAUGCUACCAAACUUUCGUAAAACGUGCCAUGAGAAAUUCGGUGUUUUGCAGACCUCUUUGACCUAAUACGCAAACUUUAACAACUUACCAACGCAUUAUACCCGAUUAUCCACGACGAGACCUUAUCCUUACUUUUGUCUAUCUGAUACUUAUGCUAUUCUUAUACUCAUAAUCGUUAUUAGAUCAAUCGUUCACCCUUGUACCUCAAUUAUCCUCUGUUGUCUCAAACUCCAAAGCCUCAAUUUUAAACAAACCCCUUCUGGUUGCCAAAACCCUUUCAGGUCUCCCUUCUGAAUAAAUUUCGGGACGAAAUUUCCUAAAGGAGAGGAGACUGUAACGCCCCGUUUUUACGUAUUUUCCGUGUUUUUUUUAAUAAUAAUAAUAAUAAUAAUAAAAUUUCGACAACUCUCCGAAUUUUAUCGGGCCACGCAAACACGGGGAUUGGGCUUGUGGGUCUUGGGCCCAAGCCCAAAACCCACUAAUCAAACCCUAGACAUAUAAAUUUGUAGUGUACCUUAUCCUCACCUUAGCUUUAUUUUUGAUAUACCAGACACAAAAUAACACGCACAAACACCACUGGCCUUUCAUCUUCUACAUCUAGAAACCCUAAAUCCCUUCUUUUUCACUUACAUCUAAUGCAUGUUACCUUCAUUUCCCUCUCACACCAAAACCCUUUAUGCAACUCAUACAUUCAUACUAGAUUCAAGCCAAACCCCCCUCUCGGUUACCCUCACCAGCUCCCCGAUGAAGACCGCCAGCCGAACAGUGGUGACCGGCGACCGUCGGCGCCCCUUUCUUCUCCAGUCGCACCUCACAUGCGCCGAUUCUUCCCCUUCUCCGACGUCAGCCCCCCCACAUCUUCGUUCUUCCGUAUCUCCGGUGACGGGACGAGAUGGAGAUGAAGGAGAGAGAGAGAGAGGAGAAGUAAGGAGAGAGAUAGGAGAAAUAAAGAGGCCGACGAUGGCAACGUCGCCGGCGAUGGAGGCGGCGAUGGCACUGGUUUGGUCCGACGAACUUCAAUCGGUUUAGCUUGGGUUAAACGAAGUUCGGGUUGUUGAAAGAUGUCACUGGCGAUGUUCGGGUUCCGAUCUGGUUCAGAUUUGUGUUCGGGUUUUCGGGUUAACACCAGUCACACCGGUCAGAUUCUAUUUUGUUUCAGUUUAGGCUCGGUAUAGUGGUGGUGACUCCGGCUCGAGUGGUGAUUCGGUUCAGUCUAGGUCACGGCUCAAGUGCGAGUCUCGAUGCAACUCGGUUCAGUUACGGCUCGGGUUGACCGGUCAAACCUGGUCAACAGUUGCGUCGAGUCACAUUACGGUCCAGUUUGAUGUUCGGUACGGUGUUAUGGUUUGGUUUAGUGUCUCAAGUCAAACUCGGUCAAUUCUGGUCAACCGUCAGUCAAUUGUCGGGUCGGCACAAGUUUUGGUAUACAAUAACGACUCGAAUACUAAUCUUAGUGUUUUCAUAAUCAUUUAUUUUUCUAUAUUUUUAUUGCGACACCAAACUUGUUAUAAUUUGUAUAUUUUACAUAGAAAUCUUAUAUUUGUAAAUUGCGUCA